CGCGCAGGCGGCGCGUUAAGUCCGGGGUGAAAUCCAUCGGCUCAACCGGUGGGGGACCUUGGAUACUGGCGCACUGGAGUGCGGGAGAGGGAAGCGGAAUUCCACGUGUAACGGUGAAAUGUAUAGAUAUGUGGAGGAACACCGGUGGCGAAGGCGGCUUCCUGGACCGUAACUGACGCUGAGGCGCGAAAGCUGGGGGGAGCGAACAG
rnacentral:rRNA from 1 species